GACGAACGCUGGCGGCGGGCUUAACACAUGCAAGUCGAACGGAGGGGCGAACGGGUGAGGAAUACGUGGGUAACCGGCCGUCCGUUUUGGGAUAAGCCUUGGAAACGGGGUCUAAUACCGGAUAGAGGGGGAGGGGCUCGCGGCCGAUCGGCGUGUUGGUGGGGGGCUGGCCUACCAAGGCGGUGACGGGUAGCCGGCCUGAGCGGGUGCACGGCAACAUUGGGACUGUGAUACGGCCUAGACUCGUAAGGGAGGCAGCAGGGGGGGAUAUUGGCCAAUGGGUGAAAGACUCAUGCAGCGACGCCGCGUGGGGGAUGAAGGCUGUCGGGUUGUAAACCUCGUUCGCUAGCGAACGGGUAGGUGGAGAAGAAGCGCCGGCUAACUACGUGCCAGCAGCCGCGGUAAUAC
rnacentral:rRNA from 1 species